CCGUUUCACAAUUCUGCUCUAUGACACCAAAGUCCGAUUCGUUAAGCGAAUCGGAUAACAAAUGGGAACUACGACCCAUUACCUGAGAUUGCUGGACUUGCUGUUGAAACAGAUCCAUGACGAAACUAACCUGGUUCUCACGGUCCAGGGGAUUCAAGCCUCCGAGUACAACUGAUUCGGUAUCCGAGACGGCGUCGUCGUCGUCGAGCGUCUGAAUAUUGAAAUUGGUGUGCUCGGUAAGUGCGUAGGGGUC
rnacentral:misc_RNA from 1 species